AUUUUGUUCCAAGACGCAGCAGAAAUGGGUUGUUGGUUGUGACCGGUUGUGACGUUUCUAAUGAUGAAAAUUAAAAGAUGAUUUAGCACAUAGAAACCAAUUUGGCAAAUCAUUCAACUCAGACUUGGAAGUGCCUGUACAUUUCCGAAAUGGCGUGCCUCGUGUGUCUCGCUGCCUGUUCUUAGGCGUACGUCUCAUCCCAUGCAACAGCAAAAGUUAACAAACACUUCUUUAACGCUGUUGGUUAACUUGUUGCAGCCAAAUGGUGAAAGGUGUGACGAAGACAGAUUGAACCAUUGUAUGCAGCAUGCGGUUGCAGUGUAAUCCAGAAGUUGCUGUGCUGUUGUAGCUGAGCUCUUCCAUCUGGGUUCCUGACUU